rnacentral:other from 1 species
UACAAGCUGCGCUGUUCGUGGUUAUAAUAAAGUUUUAACCUUUAAGCUGUAAUAGGGAGUUUUAUUUUCAAAACUGGAAUGACAAGCCUCUGUCUAUAUGACAAGGAGGACAGGCAGGACAUUUUGAGCGAACACCCACUUUGAGGAGUGGUGGUUUAAAACUUUCUUAUUGAUUACGGCAAACGCGGCUUUAUA